AUGGCAUCCCUGAAGGCCGUGAAGCCAACCGGACUUGAAGGGCAGGCCAAGGAGCCUACCAAGGUUAGUGCCACCAAGGGGCCUGCAAAGCUCAGUGCCACGGCGACCAAGCCAGCAGCCGCCAAGGGCGGCAUCAAGAAGGCUGAGUCAAAGCCACGGGAGCCUAAGAAGAGGGUGAAGAGCUCCAAGCCAGCAGCAGCAAAAAACUGA
rnacentral:rRNA from 1 species